GUGCUGAAAAAAAUACGGGGGAAAGACGAUCCUGUUUAAACGGAGAAGUGUUUUUUUCCCAGCCGGAAGCUUGCUUUCCCUUUCGGAUCAUCGUUCAACUAGCUCCAGGAAAAAGGAACCAGGUGGUAGACCAAGCUACAACCCACAUAAUAUGAAGCGAACGGGAAGGUCAUCUGAGUUAAGGUCGUUAUCUACGCAAACAAGCAAGCAGGAAUGUGGAUGCAGACCUAAACUGAAGUCCCUCAACUAGGCCUGGCUAUUGACAAUUAGCGGUUAUAUUUUAUAUUUGAGUUCAGAAGGAAAAAAAAAAUUUUUAAAUCCUAUCAGAGAAAAAAGAUGUAGGCCAUAUUUACUAUGUCGUAAUAUUAAAAGUGAAAAUUUAUUGUAGUCAAAAGUUGAAAAGCUAAACAUUUUGUAUGGAAAGUUAAAAUGAAUUUAUACAGUGGUGUAAGCAUCAAAUUAAAGAAUAUAUGCAUAUACAGUAAAAUUGUCUACUUCUAUCAAGUAUUCGAGUAAUGCAAUUAUUCUCUAACGCUUAAUAAUAAAAAUCUCUCCUCUCA